UACGUAGGGUGCGAGCGUUAAUCGGAAUUACUGGGCGUAAAGCGCGUGUAGGCGGCAGCGCAAGUCGGAUGUGAAAUCCCAUGGCUCAACCAUGGAAGUGCACCCGAAACUGCGUCGCUAGAGUCCUGGAGAGGAAGGUGGAAUGCUUGGUGUAGAGGUGAAAUUCGUAGAUAUCAAGCGGAACACCGGUGGCGAAGGCGGCCUUCUGGACAGUGACUGACGCUGAGACGCGAAAGCGUGGGGAGCAAACAGG
rnacentral:rRNA from 1 species